UAAUCGGUAUUUGUCUUGGCUAAUACCAUUUAACAUAGACUUGGUUGAUAUUUUUCAUAUUAAAAAAUACUCGUGACGAAUCCGCUCUAUAUAUAAUUUUUAUUUUGUAUACAAAGUGUCUACUUUUGAUUUUCCAGUUAAGAUAGGACACCAUUGUCAUAAAAACAUCUUUCCCAGUAAUUCAGUAUAAGAUCAGACCAUUCUACCUGGUUAUUUCUACAGGUCCAAAUGUUAUACAUGUAGUUCGGAUUUUAUGCCAGUCUGGUUUUGAGUUCUUUAUAAGCCAUAUAGCAAAAUUGCUUACCUUUUUAACAUUUUAAAUGUUAUUGUUAAUAAUUUAAGUCUACAAAACCAUCAAUUUGUAACAUGGUAAUGAUUUUAGUGUGAAUCCAUGGUGUUGAGAAUGUUCUAGAAGCUUUCCCAUACAAAUGAGGAUUAAAUAUUGUUUCUAGUUCACACCACCCAGCGAAGUGACUGGCAUAAUUUGGCUUGAGGUAUGGUAGACCAUUACAAAUGUUAUGGUGACCAGAAAUAUUUUAACACUUUACCAUAUACCUCCGUUUUGUAAAAUAUUUGGCUUGAUGUAUGGUAGACCAUUACAAAUGUUAUGGUAACCAGAAAUAUUUUAACACUUUACCAUAUACCUCCGUUUUGUAAAAUAUUUGGCUUGAUGUAUGGUAGACCAUUACAAAUGUUAUGGUGACCAGAAAUAUUUUAACACUUUACCAUAUACCUCCAUUUUGUAAAAUAUUUGGCUUGAUGUAUGGUAGACCAUUACAAAUGUUAUGGUAACCAGAAAUAUUUUGACACUUUACCAUAUACAUGUACCUCCGUUUUGUAAAAUAUUUGGCUUGAGGUAUGGUAGACCAUUACAAAUGUUAUGGUGACCAGAAAUAUUUUAACACUUUACCAUAUACCUCCGUUUUGUAAAAUAUUUGGCUUGAUGUAUGGUAGACCAUUACAAAUGUUAUGGUGACCAGAAAUAUUUUAACACUUUACCAUAUACCUCCGUUUUGUAAAAUAUUUGGCUUGAUGUAUGGUAGACCAUUACAAAUGUUAUGGUGACCAGAAAUAUUUUAACACUUUACCAUAUACCUCCGUUUUGUAAAAUAUUUGGCUUGAUGUAUGGUAGACCAUUACAAAUGUUAUGGUGACCAGAAAUAUUUUAACACUUUACCAUAUACCUCCGUUUUGUAAAAUAUUUGGCUUGAUGUAUGGUAGACCAUUACAAAUGUUAUGGUGACCAGAAAUAUUUUAACACUUUACCAUAUACCUCCAUUUUGUAAAAUAUUUGGCUUGAUGUAUGGUAGACCAUUACAAAUGUUAUUGUAACCGGAAAUAUUUUAACACUUUACCAUAUACCUCUGUUUUGUAAAAUAUUUUAACCAGUGUUUAACUGACAGAAUACCUAUAUUUUAAUGUUUUUCCUACAUAUAUUUAACAAGUUACAUUAUUUAAGUUUAUAUUAUAUAUUUCUUCCAACUUGUUCUCAUGUGAAUAAAGUUUUUAAAAAGCAAA